AGCGAACGCUGGCGGCAGGCCUAACACAUGCAAGUCGAACGGAUCCUUCGGGAUUAGUGGCGGACGGGUGAGUAACACGUGGGAACGUGCCCUUUGGUUCGGAACAACUCAGGGAAACUUGAGCUAAUACCGGAUGUGCCCUUCGGGGGAAAGAUUUAUCGCCAUUGGAGCGGCCCGCGUCUGAUUAGCUAGUUGGUGAGGUAACGGCCCACCAAGGCGACGAUCAGUAGCUGGUCUGAGAGGAUGAUCAGCCACACUGGGACUGAGACACGACCCAGACACCUACGGGAGGCAGCGGUGGGGAAUCGUGCGCAAUGGGCGAAAGCCUGACGCAGCCAUGCAGCGUGAAUGAUGAAGGUCUUAGGAGUGUAAAAUUCUUUCAGCGGAGACGAUAAUGACGGUACCCGCAGAAGAAGCUCCGGCUAACUUCGUG
rnacentral:rRNA from 1 species